AGGCGUGAGAUGCACAUCGUUGAUUUACCAUACUUGCCGCACUGGCGGCAGCCUGUCCUGGGGUGGUUCUUGCAGCUCAAGAAAAUGACUGGCUAAUUUUAGGGUUGGGAGGAAAAAUAAUUUGUUUAACUAAGCGCUUCCACGUACGUCAGAGGCUAUCACUUUUGAUCCUAACAAAGAGGUACUCUAAGAGAGACAAACUGAAGAACUGAAGGAAAAAUUCAAGCCUCAAGUUGCAAUUUUGAAGGAUUCUAUGGGCAAAAUAUUGCACGAUGCAGGAAA